UUGGUCGUCCUCUCGCCUCUGUUCCCUCCUCGGCCUGGGGUUACUGCGAAUCUGGCGCUGAAGACUGAAGCUGCUAACGUUAUAUUCGGUAGGUUUUCUACUAAAAUGAGAGAAUUCAUCAAAUGGUAAAUGCAUUUGUUUUUGAAAGCAUUGAGUGCGGCAUUUCGCUGUUUCCAUGCUUUGAAACGGUAAUAGUGUGAGUGUUAAACAUUACGCGCUAACAUAUUUUUUGUGACGCACAACACCGUGUAGAAGUGUCCGUCUCGUCGCUGCAGAUGUGCAGUCUUUCUGCAGACAGAGCUGCUAUAACGAGGAACAUUUACCAAAAAUUUGAUUGACGUUAUCUAAUGCAAAAGUCUGAAAUUAGAGCACGUUUAAAAACUUCUAUUCGCUACUGUCUUGCGUUGCUUGUUCUCAGAGCUGAAUAUCAUGUCUAUCGUGUCGUCAUAUCUGCGUCAAGACACAAACGCGCUUCCGUGAAGUGUUUCUUAUGAUGAGUAACGUUUCGUUUAUGCAAGUAUCGUGAAAGUACGCAGCCCCGCACGUCACUUGUAGGAGAAAAAAACAUACAAUCCGUCCCGUCAGUUUGUAAACCGUACUCACGAAUUCUUAAACCGUUCCCUCGGUUUAACAAAAAGUGUCGGUUUAUAAACUGACGGGACGGAUUGUAUGGUUUUCUCCUACAAGUGACGUGCGGGGCUGCGUAUGAAUGUGAGUUAAAGGUAGGUGAAACUGUAAAUCUUCAGUUGUGUUUCAAAGAUAACAAAAGUCUUGGCUGAGUAAACUGAUGAACUUUUCAUUUUUUAACGAAUCCUGUAAUAAAAGUAUAUGGCCAUAUGUGUCACCCGAGAUGCUUGCUAAUGUCAGGUUGUGAACAGAGCCACUGUGUGACUACACAAUCAACUUAGCAGAAUGGUUCCUGAGAGAGAUGUUGUCAUUAAUUGUUUUUUUCUUUUCUUUUUUUCAAGAAGCCUCAGAAGACCUUCAAGGAUCCAGUUGACCUCUGAAUCAGCUGUUAAGAAAAUGGGACAGUUAUAUUGCUUCAAUUGGUCUCCUACUUCAUUUGAUUCCACCUUCAUUACAAGGCUGCAAGGGAUCUGGAAAAAUGUCAUCCUGUCAAGCUGAAAAAAACAUCUUCAAAAAGGUACAUUUGGACAUUUCUGUCAAUACCUAUUGUCUGCCUAAAAAUAUUGCCAAAUGGGUUGUAUAUGAAAAACACAUUUAAUAUUAAAAAAAAAAAACAGUUGGAGAGCUGACCUUGAGUGUUACUUUUGUCUUUUAUCUGCAGGCACUAACAAGAACAGCUUGAUUGCAGAGAAGAGUCCACACAGCCAUACACGCUCACUGAUGGGAUGAUGAGGAACAUCAUUCAUGGAUGCUACACAACUCAAAUCUACACGUCAUAUUUGUUCAUGUCUAGGUAAAUUUGAUGAUUUUGUGUUUUAUUAAUUACUUUGUUUCUGUGCAACACUUAAUGAAUGUGACUGACUAAUUAACCUCUACACAUCUGGUAUAUGCUUUAAAGUUGCCACUUUGCCCAUUUGUUCAAUAAAUGUUGAAAUGUAUACAUCUGUCUGAAGACUUUCCUGAUUUUAUGUCUAUCCUUUUACAUUAACUUUAUUUUUAUCAUAAUUAACAUUAUUUUUUUUGUUUGCACUGAAAAAGAGGACAUUAUUAAUUACGCUUAAAAACAACAGCAGAGGUGU
ensembl:lncRNA